UACGUAGGGUGCGAGCGUUGUCCGGAAUUAUUGGGCGUAAAGGGCUCGUAGGCGGUUUGUCGCGUCGGGAGUGAAAACCAUGGGCUUAACUCAUGGCUUGCUUCCGAUACGGGCAGACUAGAGGUAUGCAGGGGAGAACGGAAUUCCUGGUGUAGCGGUGAAAUGCGCAGAUAUCAGGAGGAACACCGGCGGCGAAGGCGGGUCUCUGGGCCAUAACUGACGCUGAGGAGCGAAAGCGUGGGGAGCGAACAGG
rnacentral:rRNA from 1 species